ACUGGGCAGGCAGCUGGACGCGCCGGCCGGUGUGCGCCGUGUGAAGGUAUGAGGAAGCGGCCGCCGCGGAAGAGGGAGCCAGGCGACCACUCACGUUCACAGAUGGAGCAGCCGCGCGGAUGAUGUUUGACAUGGAAAUUGCUUGGCUGGGGUAUUCUGUUUCCUCUGCGUUGUAUCCGGUUUGUAUCGUUAGGUAACUUUAGGCACGGCUUUCCCCUGAAGCCGACCCUUUUCCUGCGCUUAGCACUACCCGGGGUUGGUUGCAUGGGUUAUAAUAAUGAAAACACACCCUUGCCCCCCAGUCCCCGGAGAGUUAGGUCGAAAUUUGACUUGACUUUCCUAUGCAGCUGCUUCAGCUUUGUAUAGUUAGUGUGUAGCUUUGAAAAAGUGAUGGGGUUUACAAAUACUUUCAAAAUGUGAUUGGACAUCCCCAUGUAAGAACCCAUUUUGAAUGUAACUGUAUUGACCAAAUUUUUAAAAAUUAAAAUAGUGUAUCUGGGCGAAGAGUCCAGGUAUUUGCUUUAAAAGUC
rnacentral:lncRNA from 1 species